GGAAGUUCCCUGAUGAUGAAGUUUAUAAUACUUGCUUCUCAACAAAAAUCAGUGAGUCAGUUGAUGAUCUCAUCACUGUGUCUGUGACUUUCAAACCAGAGAUUCUGCUGUGGGACUUCUCUCUCGACAAGAUGCUGUUUCAAAAUUGAUUAGUUCUCCAACCCGCCCACUGAAAUCAUCCAACCUAUUGAAGAAGCAGAAUGGGAUGUGGAUUAUAGGGUUUCAGAUAACACCAAGUCCCUUGUGAAAGGCACUGAUGAUACAAAAAUGACACAGACAAAAAUCUCUGCACCCAUGGAACUUACAUUCUCUUAGAGGAGACACGGUAAGCAAGAGAUUCUGAUUCAGGAAGUUCCAUUUGUGGCCCAGGAAUCUAAUCUUUAUUUACCACCUUCCAACCAACACCAUUCCUGACACAGGUCAUGAUCUUAUGGUUCAUGGGCUCGAACCCUGCAUCUGGCUCUGUACUGACAGAGUGAAACCUGCUUGGGAUUCUCUCUCUCCCUCUUUUUCUGCCCCUCCCCAGCUCCCUCUGACUCUCUCUGAAAAUAAAUAAAUAAACUUAAUUAUAAAACUUAAACUUAAAAAAAGAGUAUUUUAUUCUUUAAGUUGUAGUCAUAGAAUUAACCUGACUUUCCUUGAACAAUGAAAAUGUUGCCAGGAAGAAAUGAUGCAAUCUGAGGUAGUGGAAAGUAUAGGGACUUUGUGACAGGUCACCAGAAUUAGAAUUCCUCCAUUCCCUCCACCCCUGCCAUUUGCUGU